rnacentral:misc_RNA from 1 species
GAUGAAGAACGCAGCGAAAUGCGAUACGUAAUGUGAAUUGCAGAAUUCAGUGAAUCAUCGAGUCUUUGAACGCACAUUGCGCCCCCUGGUAUUCCGGGGGGCAUGCCUGUCCGAGCGUCAUUACAACCCUCAAGCUCAGCUUGGUGUUGGGCCCCGCCGCCCCGGCGGGCCCUAAAGUCAGUGGCGGUGCCGUCCGGCUCCGAGCGUAGUAAUUCUUCUCGCUCUGGAGGUCCGGUCGUGUGCUUGCCAGCAACCCCCAAUUUUUUUCAGGUUGACCUCGGAUCAGGUAGGGAUACCCGCUGAACUUAAGCAUAUCAAUAAGCGGAGGA